rnacentral:rRNA from 1 species
AGAAUCAACGCUGGCGGCGUGCCUAACACACGCAAGUCGAACGAGAAAGUGGUAGCAAUACCAUGAGUAAAGUGGCGCACGGGUGAGUAACACGUGACUAACCUACCCUUGAGUGGGGGAUAACUGAGGGAAACCUUAGCUAAUACCGCAUAAUACCCACGGGUCAAAGGAGCAAUUCGCUCGAGGAGGGGGUCGCGGCCGAUUAGUUAGUUGGUGGGGUAAUGGCCCACCAAGACGAUGAUCGGUAUCCGGCCUGAGAGGGCGCACGGACACACUGGAACUGAAACACGGUCCAGACUCCUACGGGAGGCAGCAGUGGGAAAUUUGCGCAAUGGGGGAAACCCUGACGCAGCAACGCCGCGUGGAGGAUGAAGUCCUUCGGGACGUAACUCCUUUCGAUCGGGACGAUUAUGACGGUACCGGAAGAAGAAGCCCCGGCUAACUUCGUGCCAGCAGCCGC